rnacentral:rRNA from 1 species
AGUGAACGCUGGCGGUAGGCCUAACACAUGCAAGUCGAACGGCAGCACAGUAAGAGCUUGCUCUUACGGGUGGCGAGUGGCGGACGGGUGAGGAAUACAUCGGAAUCUACUUUUUCGUGGGGGAUAACGUAGGGAAACUUACGCUAAUACCGCAUACUACCUACGGGUGAAAGCAGGGGAUCUUCGGACCUUGCGCGAUUGAAUGAGCCGAUGUCGGAUUAGCUAGUUGGCGGGGUAAAGGCCCACCAAGGCGACGAUCCGUAGCUGGUCUGAGAUGAUGAUCAGCCACACUAGAACUGAUACACGGUCCAGACUCCUACGGGAGGCAGCAGUGGGGAAUAUUGGACAAUGGGCGCAAGCCUGAUCCAGCCAUACCGCGUGGGUGAAGAAGGCCUUCGGGUUGUAAAGCCCUUUUGUUGGGAAAGAAAAGCAGCAGGUUAAUACCCCGCUGUUCUGACGGUACCCAAAGAAUAAGCACCGGCUAACUUCGUG